rnacentral:tRNA from 1 species
GGGCCUGUAGCAUAGUGGCAGUGCACCCGGUUUGCAUCCGGGAGGUAGGGGUUCGAUUCCCCUCAGGUCCA